rnacentral:rRNA from 1 species
CCUACGGGAGACAGCAGUGGGGGAUAUUGCACAAUGGGGGAAACCCUGAUGCAGCGACGCCGCGUGGGUGAAGAAGCGCCUCGGCGCGUAAAGCCCUGUCAGUAGGGAAGAAAAUGACGGUACCUGAAGAAGAAGCCCCGGCUAACUACGUGCCAGCAGCCGCGGUAAUACGUAGGGGGCAAGCGUUAUCCGGAUUUACUGGGUGUAAAGGGGGCGCAGACGGCGAUGCAAGCCAGGAGUGAAAGCCCGGGGCCCAACCCCGGGACUGCUCUUGGAACUGCGUGGCUAGAGUGCAGGAGGGGCAGGCGGAAUUCCUGGUGUAGCGGUGAAAUGCGUAGAUAUCAGGAGGAACACCGGUGGCGAAGGCGGCCUGCUGGACUGCAACUGACGUUGAGGCCCGAAAGCGUGGGGAGCAAACAGGAUUAGAUACCCCAGUAGUC